AGGACCUGGCGUUCCUGAGCAAGCGAGAGUUGAUGGGGUCCUGUGGAACAAGGCCUUCAACCCUUGUCAGAUGCAGCAGAAGCCAGUCUGCCUUCUCUUCCUUGCUGGAGAGGCAGCUGGCUACUGUUUCGACAUUGCUCUCCGGGAGAAGUGCUUCCUUGUAUUGAGCUUGAGUCCACAUUUCCAGAAGCUUCUACCACUCAGCCCUUUCUUCUCCCUCCACCCUGAGAGGCCCAGCAGCCUCUGUUCCCAUCCCAGCUCCCGGUCUUUCUGGUGGAGGAUGCCUGGGAGGUGCCACGACCUGGGGUGGCAUGCACAGGGAGGCUGCAGCCUCUUCGGCAGCCGUCUCCACGAGCUGAGGGCUGGCCAGCAGGGCCUCUGUGGAGGAGGAUGGAUCCCACGACCCCUUAGGAU
rnacentral:lncRNA from 1 species